GACGAACGCUGGCGGCGUGCCUAAUACAUGCAAGUUGAGCGCUGAAGGUUGGUACUUGUCCCAACUGGCUGAGCAGCGAACGGGUGAGUAACGCGUGGGGCAUCUGCCUUUGAGCGGGGGACAACAUUUGGAAACGAAUGCUAAUACCGCAUAAAAACUUUAAACACAAGUUUUAAGUUUGAAAGAUGCAAUUGCAUCACUCAAAGAUGAUCCCGCGUUGUAUUAGCUAGUUGGUGAGGUAAAGGCUCACCAAGGCGAUGAUACAUAGCCGACCUGAGAGGGUGAUCGGCCACACUGGGACGGAGACACGGCACAAACGCCCACGGGAGGGAGCAGUAGGGAAACGUGGGGCAGGGACGAAAGACUGUCCGAGCAACGCGGCGGGAGGGAAGAAGGUUUUCGGAUCGGAAAACUCUGUUGGUAGAUAAGAACGCUGGUGAGGGUGGAAAGCUCAUCAAGUGACGGUAACUACACAGAAAGGGACGGCUAACUACGUG
rnacentral:rRNA from 1 species